AGAGCAAUCAACUCCGUCUACAGGAUCAGGAUGGUGAGCUUAGGAAUUCACAGGACCAGUGAGUGACCCAGCCUGGAUCCUACAGGAUAAAAGCUUCCAAGGACAUCUAAUUCUUCGGGACUGAGGGAAGAUGUCCCCAUCAGCAGGAUCUGGAUUUUGGUUUCGGUGACUCCAUGGCACAGCGGGGAGAGAACUUGAGAAAAGUUUGCUGACCUCUGAUA
rnacentral:lncRNA from 1 species